rnacentral:rRNA from 1 species
UACGAAGGGGGCUAGGCGUUGCUCGGAAUCACUGGGCGUAAAGCGCACGUAGGCGGAUCUUUAAGUCAGGGGUGAAAUCCCGGAGCUCAACUCCGGAACUGCCUUUGAUACUGGAGAUCUUGAGUCCGGGAGAGGUGAGUGGAACUGCGAGUGUAGAGGUGAAAUGCGUAGAUAUCUGGAGGAACACCGGUGGCGAAGGCGGCGUUCUGGACUGCAACUGACACUGAUGAACGAAAGCCAGGGGAGCAAACGGG